GUGCCAGCCGCCGCGGUAAUACGGGAGGUCCGGGCGUUAUCCGGAUUUAUUGGGUUUAAAGGGAGCGCAGGCUGGCUUUUAAGCGUGACGUGAAAUGCGGCGGCUCAACCGUCCGAAGUGCGUCGCGAACUGGAGGCCUUGAGUGAGUUCGACGCCGGCGGAAUUCGUGGUGUAGCGGUGAAAUGCUUAGAUAUCACGAGGAACCCCGAUUGCGAAGGCAGCCGGCGAGGCCUUUACUGACGCUAAAGCUCGAAGGUGCGGGUAUCGAACAGGAUUAGAUACCCUGGUAGUCCGCACGGUAAACGAUGGAUGCCCGCCGUUUGCGAUACACUGUGAGCGGCCAAGCGAAAGCGUUAAGCAUCCCACCUGGGGAGUACGCCGGCAACGGUGAAACUCAAAGGAAUUGACGGGGGCCCGCACAAGCGGAGGAACAUGUGGUUUAAUUCGAUGAUACGCGAGGAACCUUACCCGGGCUUGAACUGCAGCGGAACGAUUCAGAGAUGAUGAGGUCCUUCGGGACCGCUGUGGAGGUGCUGCAUGGUUGUCGUCAGCUCGUGCCGUGAGGUGUCGGCUUAAGUGCCAUAACGAGCGCAACCCCUCUCUUCAGUUGCCAUCGGGUUAUGCCGGGCACUCUGGAGACACUGCCACCGUAAGGUGUGAGGAAGGUGGGGAUGACGUCAAAUCAGCACGGCCCUUACGUCCGGGGCUACACACGUGUUACAAUGGGUGGUACAGAGAGCCGGUCUGCCGCAAGUCAGAUCCAAUCAAGAAAGCCAUCCUCAGUUCGGACUGGGGUCUGCAACCCGACCCCACGAAGCUGGAUUCGCUAGUAAUCGCGCAUCAGCCAUGGCGCGGUGAAUACGUUCCCGGGCCUUGUACACACCGCCCGU
rnacentral:rRNA from 1 species